UGGAUACCGUUAGCUAACGUCAGCUGGCAGACUUUGGAAAUUAAAAUAAGUUGAAUUCUUAUUACUAAAAUAAACUUACCGUCUACUGGUGAUCACCUUUAAAAUGAAUGGGCGAUUUUGAGACGACACUUCCAGCUACAGCCAAACAGGAAAAUGCAUUGCUUUUCAAGUUUGAUGCAAGUGAGUUUGUAGACGUCGCCAGCAAACGACUGCCUGACGUCGUCUAGUCUCGGGCACGAGCCUUACUAUCAGUUUGUGUCCAGCAUUAGCCCAGAUAUGGAAAGCUGUGAAAGCCUGUUUGUAGACGAAGAGAGAGGUCCCAAUUAAUGACCCAAGAGACUAGAGGUGUCGCCCAUCUUCCCCAUUAUCUCCUGUGUACUUAGAC